rnacentral:rRNA from 1 species
GCUCGUAUUUCGUCAGGUUCCUGGUUUUUUUUUACCGGUCCUCCGGAUUUAAGGCCCGGAGGCGUUUGCAACCUAAUUCGCGAGUAACACCAAGAACUUGCUCUCGUGUGAAGAACGGCGGGAACGGGUGAAUAAUGUCUGGGAAAACCGCCUUGUGGAGGGGGAUAACUUCUGGAAAACGGUAGCUUAUACCGCAUAAUGUCGCAAGAACCAAAGUGGGGGACCUUCUGGGCCCUCAUGCCAUUAGAAUUGUCCCCAGAUGGGAUUAGGCUUGUAGGUGGGGUAACGGGUUCACCUUAGGCGACGUUCCCUAGCUGGUCUGAGAGGUUGAACCCAGCCACACUGGAACUUAGACACCGUCCACAAUCUCCUACGGGAGGCAGCAGUGGGGAAUAUUGCACAAUGGGCGCAAGCCUGAUGCAGCCGUGCCGCGUGUGUGAAGAAGGCCUUUCGGGUUGUAAAGCACUUUCAGCGGGGAGGAAGGCGUUAAGGUUAAUAACCUUGGCGAUUGACGUUACCCGCAGAAGAAGCACCGGCUAACUCCGUGCCAGCAGCCGCGGUAAUACGGAGGGUGCAAGCGUUAAUCGGAAUUACUGGGCGUAAAGCGCACGCAGGCGGUCUGUCAAGUCGGAUGUGAAAUCCCCGGGCUCAACCUGGGAACUGCAUUCGAAACUGGCAGGCUAGAGUCUUGUAGAGGGGGGUAGAAUUCCAGGUGUAGCGGUGAAAUGCGUAGAGAUCUGGAAGAAUACCGGUGGCGAAGGCCGCCCCCUGGACAAAGACUGACGCUCAGGUGCGAAAGCGUGGAGAGCAAACAGGAUUAGAUACCCUGGUACUCCACGCCGUAAACGAUGUCGAUUUGGAGGUUGUGCCCUUGAGGCGUGGCUUCCAGAGCUAACGCGUUAAAUCCACCCGCCUGGAGAAGUACCGCCGCAAGGUUAAAACUCAAAUGAAUUUGACGGGGGCCCCGCACAAGCGGUGGAAUCAUGUGGUUUAAUUUCGAUGCAACGCGAAGAACCUUUACCUGGGUCUUGACCUCCACAGAACUUUCCCAAGAGAUGGAUUGGGUGCCCUUCCGGAAACUGGAAGAACAGGUGCCUGCAUGGGCUGUUCCUCAGCCUCGGUGUUGUGAAAUUGUUGGGUUAACUCCCGCCCAACCAAGCCCAACCCUUAUCCUCUGUUGCCAGCCGGGGGGUCCGGGCCGGGAAAACUCAAAGAGAAGACUGCCAGUGGUAAACCUGGGGAGGGAGGAAGGUGGAGAUCACUUCAAGUUAUCAU